rnacentral:tRNA from 1 species
GCAGUGAUGGUUCAGUGGUAGAAUUCUUGCCUUCCAUGCAGGAGACCCAGGUUUGAUCCCCAGCCAAUGCG